CCUGUUUGUUAUUAUUCUUUCUGCCUCCUUCCCCCCACUGCUCUGCUCACUGUCUUUCUCCCCUGUCGUUUCCUGUUACUUUCCCUUCUGCCCGCCACUCAUCUCUCAGGCUCUGAGAAGCAGGACUUUCAUCCCUCCCCUGCUGGCCUCCGAUGAUAGAAGCUGCAUUUGGAAGUUAUACAGUAUGCCAGGUGACCCCUGUGAAAGGGUCAUUCAUUCUCAAAGGGGUUACAACCCAGAGGUCGAGAACUGCUGCUGCAGGGCAUCUCUUGGUGUUGCCAUGUCCUAUGAUUAAAGACAAGCGUCAACUACAACUCAACCCAGGAAGAUGACAGAGGGCACAGAUCCUUCAGGAAUGAAGGUGCACUGCGGCCUAGACACCAGAGCUCCCUAGAGUUCCCCCAAAGCCUUCUGUGACAGCCUGUUUGGAAAUCACAGCCCCAAAGGCAUCAUUUCAUCACCUGGAAAGCCAAGGCAGCCCAUGCUCCAGCCCUGCCUUGAGAACAAAGGCAGGGGACUUCGUUCCUACAGUGCUGAAGGAGGUGAGUCAGGCCUGGCUCAGACUUGACCUCUGUGUAUCUUCUCUUGCACUUGGGACAGCUGCUCAGAGAGACUCCCAACAUUUCUGGCAAACUGACUGUACUCAUGCUGUGGGCUCCAGCUUCCUGACCACCCAGUAGUGGGUGGCUGCUGCAGUCUAGGCACCUGCAUCCCCGUCUGGAUCUGGUCCAGCCUUACUUUUUAAAAUUUGUGCAGUUGUUUCUCUGGCAGUCUGGCCACUGGUGUGAGUCUCUCCAGGAAAGGAGCUCAUCUCUCACCUCCACCAGGCGUUUCCAGGCAGGUCUAGGACAGUGACUAGCCCUCAGGUGGGCAUGUGAUCCAACGAAUGCGGAGGCAGACCCACCCCCCAGGCUAGAGAUGUCAUAUCCGACUUGAGGCUGACUUAUCACCCUCAUCAAAGAAGCCUGGGAACCCGUGGGAGCAGAGCAGAAAAACCCGGAAGAAAAGCCUGCUAGCCCAGGGACCCGGACUUCCCAGAGCCUGUGGGCGAGAAGGAGCUGGUAGAGUCUGGACAUUGCUUGGCUCAAAGGAUUCAGGCACCUCUUUUAUUUAUGUCACCUUAUACCCUGAAACUGGCCCUGGGGCAUGUUCCUGGAGAUGGACUGCAGUGUAUAUGACCUUUGAUGAGAUAUUUCAUGCGCUGUUCCCUAAGCUGUAUCUUGCAGUGGGCCAUCCCCUAAUCCACCCUGCUUACAUUGCUCCAGAGGCUAGGUUGAGCCUCACAUAAAUCCAGUUAGAGUGGGGAGCCCAGGUGCCCUGACUGGGUAUGGACAGCCUUGGUUUAUCUCACCAGGGCCAAGACUGUAAACAUUCUCUUUUCUCUGCUCAUUCUGGUAGGGGAAUGGAGGGCUGGGCCAGAGACUUCUUACAAUCCAUCCCCAUAACCCUCUGAGUCCGUGUACUAGAAGCAUGCCAUGUUUUCAGAGCUCCAAUGCCCAGAUCCUCACCAUCACUAUCCAAGGCUCUGGGGUGGUCCAGUCUUUCACAGGGUUAGGGAAAUAGGUUUUCUUCCGUCACUGAGAUGCUAGAUCAUACUUCUGGCUGCUUUGGUUAAUGGCCAGCAAAAGACCAUUUAAUGACACAUAGACACAUCAGGAUAGAGUUACAAAGAAAGGGAUAGUUUCCUAACAGUCUGGUUAUUCCCGGAGGAAGGUGAGGUGGUGGGGUUGGGGUGGGGAUGGGGACAGGGGAAGAUGGGGUGCAUUCUAGGUAGAUGGAAAGCGGUUGUCAUAGGCUCAAAGUCAGACUCAGGUCAUAUGCUCUCGGAGAAAUACCAGGGCAGGCUGAUUACCCCUAGGGGAGCACCAAAUACAACUUUAGGGAAUUGGGACAUAGGACGACAGGAUCACCUCUGUCCUUCUGAGGUUAGGGUCCAGUAAACAUUUAUAAAAGGUCACAGUCAGCGAACUUUGUCAGCAGGCUUCAGCACCCUGUAGUUUUGCACUGUCCACCCUCCACCAUCACCCAUGGGAGCCGUGGAGGCCUCAGUGCAGCUGUUCCUGAGUCCUGGCACCUGUUUCCCUGGCACCUGAUGCUCUGGAUACUUCCAAGCAGCUUCCACAUCUUGGCUAUGACUCAGUGAUCUCAAGAUGGAGAUGAGCUCACCACCAAACCCAAGUUCUGAGGGCCAGUCUAGGGCAUCAAGGAUCUUAAGUCUUUGUUCUGGGACUCCGGCCCUGGCAGAGCAGGAACUGGCUCCCCCAAGUCAUCCUACCAGGCCUGGCUGAGAGAGCCACUUCAUGAAUUGUGCACGGGGUAAUUCAGACGAGGCUUGAAUGCUGCAGUCUCUUUGCUUUGUUUAGGGCCGCAAUGAAUUUUGUUUAUGGGAGGAACUAUGGGUCCUGGUGUAAAUAAAUAAAGACAUGCCCUCUCUGCA